rnacentral:lncRNA from 1 species
UCAGGAGGGAAACAGCUUCUGAAAUGAGUCUCUCUGAGGAGCCUGAGGCUGAAGAUGGAGCACUGGGCCCUGAAAUUGAGAGGGUCAAGCUGGGCAGACCAGAGUCACCAGUGCCCAGCUGUAUGUCUAUGAAGAGUGACUUUUCAAUGGAACAUCCAACACACUUCAGAACUGGAGACUUCAAUCCUGACCCCAGGUGAGGUCACUGUUUUCCAUGGAGUGUAUCUGUCAGCAGCUCAUGAGAUAACAUUGUGUGAACUGGA